rnacentral:lncRNA from 1 species
UUGAGUUGGUUCCAACCAAAGACAAGAAAGUUUAGAAUUAUCAAUUUAUUUCCGACAUAUCUAGCAAAGCUUCAACAAUCACAAGAAACUAACAACCAAAAGGAUAAUCCGAUCUUGCGGGAUAAUCUGAAAUCUUCAAUUUGCCUAAUUUAUCGCAAAGCAUCAAAGAAGAAUUAACAAUAAGUACAACGUACUUGCAAACAGGGAAAC